UACGGGGGGAGCAAGCGUUGUUCGGAUUUACUGGGCGUAAAGGGCGCGUAGGCGGCGCAACAAGUCACUUGUGAAAUCUCCGGGCUUAACCCGGAGCGGCCAAGUGAUACUGUCGUGCUAGAGUGCGGAAGGGGCUACUGGAAUUCUCGGUGUAGCGGUGAAAUGCGUAGAUAUCGGGAGGAACACCUGUGGCGAAAGCGGCUCACUGGACCACAACUGACGCUGAGGCGCGAAAGCUAGGGGAGCAAACAGG
rnacentral:rRNA from 1 species